UCCCUUAGCGUGGCUCGCAUCUCUGCCCUGGGUCUGUUCUCCCAUGCCCGCCUUCAGGCACCGCUCCGGAGGCUCCGGGAAAGAGAAACUGUUUCUGGCCACUCCAAGUCCGCCCCUGAGAUGGCCUCUUGGGAAUCGGCAGUCUAGUGUCCUCACCGGAAGCGGCUAGCCACCACGGUGAAUGACCGCCCCCCGUACACUGCAAUUCCCAGCAUGCCGUUCGGGCACACCUGAAGGCGGAGCCUGUUGUCACCCUAGCCGCGGAUCCAGAUCUCGGAUUGGCUACCUUGCAUGUGGCUUGCAAAACUGUAGACGGUUCAGCCCCCCUGACGCUGAGCCAGCAAGUGGAGUUCCGUAGACAGCUAGUGUCCAAGCGUUGCAGUUCUUCGGAGGAGCUGGAACGCCUACACUGAGAUGGGCCACUGUUCCAUCCUUUUGGUUGCCUGACUAAGGAAAUGGCCUGUUUUCUCUGUCUGUGUGCCCCCUUCCCCAGCCCUAAAGCAGAAGUGUGGUUACCGUGUCCAUAGAACUGAAGGAAUGGCAUUAUGAGAGUGUGGGGUGCAGACGCAGGGAGAAGUGGAAGACCCCAAGAUUGGCAGGGGAUCAGGCAACCCCCGUGGAAGGUUGUUCGAUUCCCCGAAGGGGUCACCACCCACAGGUUAAGGACCGCUACUCUAUGGCCUCUACUUCAGUUCCUGGCGCCAGGUUCCUUCCUUGAGUUCCCACCCCGGCUUCUCUCAGUGAUGGACUGGGGCUGGGACUUGGAUUUCUCUCCAAGUUGCUUUUAUUACAGCAAACUAACACAGUAGGGGAAAUAAAGGCAAGAAGAAGUA